UACGGAGGGGGCUAGCGUUGUUCGGAAUUACUGGGCGUAAAGCGCACGUAGGCGGCUUUGUAAGUUAGAGGUGAAAGCCCAGGGCUUAACCCUGGAAUUGCCUUUAAGACUGCAUCGCUAGAAUCGUGGAGAGGUGAGUGGAAUUCCGAGUGUAGAGGUGAAAUUCGUAGAUAUUCGGAAGAGCACCAGUGGCGAAGGCGACUCACUGGACACGUAUUGACGCUGAGGUGCGAAAGCGUGGGGAGCAAACAGG
rnacentral:rRNA from 1 species